CCAGGUCUUGACAUCCACCGAAUCCUGUAGAGAUACGGGAGUGCCCUUCGGGGAGCGGUGAGACAGGUGGUGCAUGGUUGUCGUCAGCUCGUGUCGUGAGAUGUUGGGUUAAGUCCCGCAACGAGCGCAACCCUUGUGAAUAGUUGCUACGAAAGAGCACUCUAUUCAGACCGCCGUUGACAAAACGGAGGAAGGUGGGGAUGACGUCGAAUCAUCAUGCCCCUUAUGACCUGGGCUACACACGUACUACAAUGGUCGUUAACAGAGGGAAGCAAGGCCGCGAGGUGGAGCGAACCCCUAAAAACGAUCUCAGUUCAGAUUGCAGGCUGAAACUCGCCUGCAUGAAGAUGGAAUUGCUAGUAAUCGCGGAUCAGCAUGCCGCGGUGAAUACGUUCCCGGGCCUUGUACACACCGCCCGUCACACCAUGAGAGCCGGGGACACCCGAAGUCGGUUGGGUAACCGUAAGGAGCCCGCCGCCGAAGGUGGAAUCGGUAAUUGGGGUGAAGUCGUAACAAGGUAACCAAGCC
rnacentral:rRNA from 1 species